UCUCGACAAUGAAAGAGAAUUCUUCAGAAUUUAAAAAAAAUUGUCCUUAAAUUUUCUCCUCAAAAUUCUGGGGGAGGCAGAAUUUAUAGGUAAAAAGAGGGCACCAUUAAGCAUGACGCACUAGAAAGAAAGGAAUUAAGUGGCAUUCAAUUCAUGUUUCCUGAAGAGUGACGUAGUAGAAAAUACAUGAGCUUUGGAAUCUGAAAUGCAUUCAGGUCCUACUUCUUUCCUUUCUUAGCUGCAGGAUUUUGAGUAUUGAGUCACCCUUUCUGUAUCACAAACCAUGAUAAAAACUGAGGAAAACCUCUAUUUCACAGGUUAUUCUAAAAAGUAAGACAAGGCAUUCAAAAGCAGCAUAGUACCUGGCACAGAGUAAGUAUCGGACAAAUAUUAGCAACAACAUUGUCAGUAUGCCUAGACUCAAAGGAAAAUGUUUUUGGCAUGUUUUGACUCUUGAACGCUGAAUGAAAAAUUCUUCACUCUCAUUAACAAUAAUGGAAAAGAUAAUUAGAUAAUUUCAGUUUGAAACUAAGGGCUCAUAAAAAAAGUAGCUUGACUUUCAAAAAAUCAACAAAUGUUUCUUGAGUAUCUACUACUGCUAAUUAUUUUGGAGGGUGAUGAGAGGGUCCUAAAGAUGCGUAAGACACAAAUAUACAGACUAGUGGGUGAGACAUAAAGACUAGAAAGUCUUAACCUAAAACAAAUAAGCAGCCAGUUAUUUAUUCUCCCAGCAAACUGGUAGAAUUGCUGUUUAUUCAGGAACAGCAAAGAACUGCAAAUGGGGACAGGUGGCCUACGGCCAGUCACAGUGCAAGUCCAAAGAAACAAAGGAGAGAAAAUGUUAUUUCAUAAAGUUGGGAGGGGCUGUUGUAAAGGAAGAGUCCAUUGGAGCAGACUGGGAGUUCGAAGUGUGGUGGCUCUUCAUUGGCUGAGUUAUGGCCGUCUGUCAUUGGCUGAGCUGUUGCUGGGCAAGGAGGAGUUUCUUCCUUCCUCCUGCUGGGGUAGUAAGUAGGUAGCAUCAUUUCCUAUUGGAGAUGCAAGAUAGCCUCUUCCUGGUGUGAGGCAAGAGGAGAAAGAACAGAAGGACCUCUAGAAGUCAACCUGUCAAUUCACUUACUCCAUAUAAUUAUGGAAGAUGCUGGAAACAGGAAAAACAUGUAAUCAAGUGUCUUUGCAGAUGUCAUCCAGUUAAGAUGCGGUCAUCAGGUGGGCCCUAAUCCAAUAUGACUAGUGUCCUUAUAAGAGGAGGAGAGACACAAACACAGACACACCCAGAGGGAAGACCAAGUGACCACCAAGAUUGGGGUUAUGUAUUUACAAGCCAAGGACUGCCAACAACAGCAGAAGCCAAGAGAAAGGCAUGGAACAGAUUGUCUCCUGGAGCCUUCAGAGAGAUCAUGGCCCUGCUGACACUUUGAUUUGGGACUUGUAAUCUCCAGACCUGUGAGAGACUACAUUUCUUUUGUUUUCAGUCCCUCAGUUUAUGGUACUUCGUUAUAGCAGCCCAAGCAAAGUAAGACAGCAAUUAUCUCGCUGGCCCAUUUGGAGUAGCCUACUCACUGUGAUGGGGACCAUGACUUAUUUCUCUGUGUUUCAUAAAUGAACUGCCACAAGUCCAUAGGUCGGGUGAAAGACCAACGUAACCUUGAAAUGAGUGAUCUGGAGUGAAGGUCACAUCCAUUUCUGUUCCUGAGAGCAGGUACCAGUUAACUACUAGGAUGGAAGCAAAUCUCUUGUUGGUUUUUUCCUCUCACCACUCUUUCCACUUCUUGUGAAUGGUUUAAAAAAAAAGAGAAGCAAUUGACUGUUUUUUUAAAAGUUAUUUUAUGAUGUUAAAUUUUUAUUGUGAAAGGAAAAAUGUUAAAGGGAAAGCUGCUUAUCUCAACCUGAAAGACAUACAGUGAGAGAAAAACUCAGACAGCAACUUAACGACUUACUGGUCUAGUGGUCCACAAUCCUGGCUGCACUUCAUAAUUACCUGGCGCCCUUUAAAAAUACCAUCAUUUAGGGGCUGGCCCCGUGGCCAAGUGGUUAAGUUCGCACGCUCCGCUGCAGGCGGCCCAGUGUUUCGUUGGUUCGAAUCCUGGGCGCGGACAUGG